rnacentral:rRNA from 1 species
AUAUCAAUAAGCGGAGGAAAAGAAACUAACAAGGAUUCCCCUAGUAGCGGCGAGUGAAGAGGGAAAAGCUCAAAUUUUGAAUCUGACAUCUUUGGUGUCCGAGUUGUAAUCUAGAGAAGUGUUUUCCGUGCUGGACCGUACAAAAGUCUCCUGGAACGGGGCGUCAUAGAGGGUGAGAAUCCCGUAUAUGGUAUGGACUCCCGGUGCUCUGUGAUACACUCUCAACGAGUCGAGUUGUUUGGGAAUGCAGCUCAAAAUGGGUGGUAAAUUCCAUCUAAAGCUAAAUAUUGGCGAGAGACCGAUAGCGAACAAGUACCGUGAGGGAAAGAUGAAAAGCACUUUGGAAAGAGAGUGAAACAGUACGUGAAAUUGUUGAAAGGGAAGCGUUUGAGGUCAGUCGCAUCUGGUGGGACUCAGCCUGGCUUCUGCCUGGUGUACUUUUCAUUAGAUGGGCCAACGUCAGUUUCGACUGGAGGAGAAAGGCAGGGGAAAGGUAGCUGUCUUCGGGCAGUGUUAUAGUCCCUUGUUGUAUACUUCAGUUGGGACUGAGGAACGCAGCACGCCUUUUGGCCGGGGUUCGCGCCCUCGGUACGUGCUUAGGAUGUUGGCAUAAUGGCCUUAAGCGA